rnacentral:rRNA from 1 species
GACGAACGCUGGCGGCGUGCUUAACACAUGCAAGUCGAACGAUGAAGCCGGAGCUUGCUCCGGUGGAUUAGUGGCGAACGGGUGAGUAACACGUGAGCAAUCUGCCCUUGACUCUGGGAUAACUGCGGGAAACUGUAGCUAAUACCGGAUACGACACCUUGGGGCAUCCCAGGGUGUGGAAAGAAUUUCGGUCGAGGAUGAGCUCGCGGCCUAUCAGCUAGUUGGUGAGGUAAUGGCUCACCAAGGCGACGACGGGUAGCCGGCCUGAGAGGGUGACCUGCCACACUGGAACGGAGACACGGUCCAGACUCCUACGGGAGGCAGCAGUGGGGAAUAUUGCACAAUGGGCGAAAGCCUGAUGCAGCAACGCCGCGUGAGGGAUGAAGGCCUUCGGGUUGUAAACCUCUUUUAGCAGGGAAGAAGCGAAAGUGACGGUACCUGCAGAAAAAGCACCGGCUAACUCCGUGCCAGCCGCCGCCGUAA